GAUGAACGCUGGCGGCGUGCUUAACACAUGCAAGUCGAACGGUGAAGGCGGAGCUUGCUCUGCUGGAUCAGUGGCGAACGGGUGAGUAACACGUGAGCAAUCUGCCCCUGACUCUGGGAUAAGCGCUGGAAACGGCGUCUAAUACUGGAUACGAGCUGCGAAGGCAUCUUCAGCAGCUGGAAAGAAUUUCGGUCAGGGAUGAGCUCGCGGCCUAUCAGCUUGUUGGUGAGGUAAUGGCUCACCAAGGCGUCGACGGGUAGCCGGCCUGAGAGGGUGACCGGGCACACUGGGACUGCGACACGGCCCAGACUCCUACGGGAGGCAGCAGUGGGGAAUAUUGCACAAUGGGCGAAAGCCUGAUGCAGCAACGCCGCGUGAGGGACGACGGCCUUCGGGUUGUAAACCUCUUUUAGCAGGGAAGAAGCGAAAGUGACGGUACCUGAAGAAAAAGCGCCGGCUAACUACGUG
rnacentral:rRNA from 1 species